rnacentral:rRNA from 1 species
UGGGGAAUUUUGGACAAUGGGCGAAAGCCUGAUCCAGCAAUGCCGCGUGUGUGAAGAAGGCCUUCGGGUUGUAAAGCACUUUUGUCCGGAAAGAAAUCCUUGGCUCUAAUACAGUCGGGGGAUACGGUACCGGAAGAAUAAGCACCGGCUAACUACGUGCCAGCAGCCGCGGUAAUACGUAGGGUGCAAGCGUUAAUCGGAAUUACUGGGCGUAAAGCGUGCGCAGGCGGUUUGCUAAGACCGAUGUGAAAUCCCCGGGCUCAACCUGGGAACUGCAUUGGUGAUUGGCAGGCUAGAGUAUGGCAGAGGGGGGUAGAAUUCCACGUGUAGCAGUGAAAUGCGUAGAGAUGUGGAGGAAUACCGAUGGCGAAGGCAGCCCCCUGGGCCAAUACUGACGCUCAUGCACGAAAGCGUGGGGAGCAAACAGGAUUAGAUACCCUGGUA